UUGAUUGAUUAAUUUUAUAGGCGACCAACCACUACCAGUACAAUAAUGUUCAAAUUCGAGGUUUAUGUAAUUUUAUUUAGAUUAUUUUAUUAAAUAUUUUAACAGUUUUUUUGCCAUCCAAUUGCUGUCGUUGCGUACAAAGCUUUUUAAAAAUAGUAAGAUAUGUCGAAUCAACAACGUCUAGUGAAAGAUGUAUUUUUGUGGAGUAUGGCUGCCGUAUAUUUGUUUGCAUUCGGAUCUCUCUAUGUUCAAAUACCAGGUCUUUAUGGUGAAUCUGGUCUACUACCUGCUAAAAACAUUUUGAGAAGAGAGGCCAAAUCUUCAAGCUACAAGAUGUUUC